rnacentral:ribozyme from 1 species
UGCACAGCAACUACUAUCCCUACCUCCUCGCGGUACUGGCCGGGGUACGAGUAACCUUAGGGAAGAUCGGGUAACCAACCCCCGGUGGGAACUUUGGUCGUAUGCUGACAGGGAAGG